UACAGAGGUCUCAAGCGUUGUUCGGAUUCAUUGGGCGUAAAGGGUGCGUAGGCGGCGCGGUAAGUCGGGUGUGAAAUCUCGGAGCUUAACUCCGAAACUGCAUUCGAUACUGCCGUGCUUGAGGACUGGAGAGGAGACUGGAAUUUACGGUGUAGCGGUGAAAUGCGUAGAGAUCCGGAGGAACACCAGUGGCGAAGGCGACACGCUGGGCCGUACCUGACACUGAUGCGCGACAGCAUGGGGAGCAAACAGG
rnacentral:rRNA from 1 species